rnacentral:rRNA from 1 species
AUACGGAGGAUCCGAGCGUUAUCCGGAUUUAUUGGGUUUAAAGGGUGCGCAGGCGGCCAUUUAAGUCAGCGGUUAAAUCGUGGGGCUCAACCCCAUUCUGCCGUUGAUACUGGGUGGCUUGAUUGCGGUCGAGGUUGGCGGAAUUCGUUGUGUAGCGGGGAAAUGCAUAGAUAUGACGAAGAACACCGAUUGCGUAGGCAGCUGACCAGACCGCAAAUGACGCUCAUGCACGAAAGUGCGGGGAUCGAACAGGAUUAGAUACCCUGGUAGUCCGCACAGUAAACGAUGAAUACUUGUUUUCGGCGAUAUAAUGUCGGAGGCAAAGCGAAAGCGAUAAGUAUUCCACCUGGGGAGUGCGCCGGCAACGGUGAAACUCAAAUGAAUUGACGGGG